rnacentral:rRNA from 1 species
AGAGAAGUGCUUUAGCAAUAAAGAACCCGGUGACAGGUGCUGCAUGGCUGUCGUCAGCUCGUGUCGUGAGAUGUUGGGUUAAGUCCCGCAACGAGCGCAACCCUCGCCUUUAGUUGCCAGCAUUCAGUUGGGCACUCUAGAGGGACUGCCGGUGUCAAACCGGAGGAAGGUGGGAUGACGUCAAGUCCUCAUGGCCUUUAUGUCUAGGGCUACACACGUACUACAAUGGCCGGUACAAAGGGCAGCCACUCAGCGAUGAGGCGCUAAUCCCAUAAAGCCGGUCUCAGUCCGGAUCGCAGUCUGCAACUCGACUGCGUGAAGUUGGAAUCGCUAGUAAUCGUAGAUCAGCAUGCUACGGUGAAUACGUUCCCGGGCCUU